AUUGAACGCUGGCGGCAGGCCUAACACAUGCAAGUCGAGCGAGCGGCGGACGGGUGAGUAAUGUCUGGGAAACUGCCUGAUGGAGGGGGAUAACUACUGGAAACGGUAGCUAAUACCGCAUACCAUCAGAUGUGCCCAGAUGGGUUUGGCUGGUUGGUGGGGUAACGGCUCACCUAGGCGACGAACCCUAGCUGGUCUGAGAGGAUGACCAGCAACACGGGAACUGGGACACGGUCCAGACUCCUACGGGAGGCAGAAGUGGGGAAUAUUGCACAAUGGGCGCAAGCCGGAUGCAGCCAUGCCGCGUGUGUGAAGAGGGCCUUCGGGUUGUAAAGCACUUUCAGCGGGGAGGCGUUACCCGCAGAAGAAGCACCGGCUAACUCCGUGCCAGCAGCCGCGGUAAUUC
rnacentral:rRNA from 1 species